rnacentral:sRNA from 20 species
GUAUAAAAGUGGCAUCUGUAAAUGGUAUAUGGGGCGAUUCUGGUUUAGCAAGACUAUCGCAACUAUGCAAAAAAGCAACGGCAAAUCCGUUGCUUUUUUGAGA